GAAAGAAAAGGCAACCCACUCCAGUAUAUUGCCUGGAGAAUCCCAUGGACAGAGGAGCCUGGCGGGCUAUAGUCCAUAGAGUGUCAAAGAGUCAGACACGACAGAGCAACUGAGCACACACGUGGCACUUAUUAUAUGUCACAUACUAAACCCCUUCAGUCCUCACAACAUCUGUAAGAUAGAUGCUAUUCUUAUCCCUGUUUUACAGAUGAGGAAGCUGAGGCAAAAAGAGGGUAUGUAACUUGCCCAAUUUCAGACAGCUCACAACCGAGAGCCAUGAUUUGGAACCAGGAAGUUUGGCUUCAGAGCAGUGGCCUCACCAGUGUGUGUUUCUGCCGCACCUCGGCUGGAGGAACAGGGAGUGGCUGCAUGGUUCCCUCAGGUGGGUCCUCCUGGAGAUCUGCUGGGAUCUUCCCCUCACACAGCCUAACAUCCUCCAAUCAGGUUCAGCAACCACCCUAACUCUGCUGACUCAUGAGUGUGGCCAACACGGAUGCCCAGGCCAGGCCUCCUCUGCAGGCGCUGGGGCCAAGCCAGCCAGGCCUUCACCACACAGUGGCCAUAUCGGCUCCACAGAGGACUUCACAUUUAUCAUCACAGGCAAAUGUCAGCUUGUUGGUUUCAGCCCAGAGCCUGCUGAAAGCAUUCUGAAUCUUGAUUCUGUCUGCUAAGGUAUUCUCUCUUGUACCUCAGUGUUGCCUAUUCAAUUGAGGAUGCUCAAUCUUCAUCAAAGCCGUGGAUAAAAGUAACCUGAGCCAGGUGACCUUCAGCCCAGACAUCUCUCAGCUUCUGACUGGUCUGGCCAACCGGACAGCUUCUCCUGGAUGACCUCCUGCCACCUCUGACUCAACGUGUCCAAAAGAGAACUCAGUUUCUCCCCCCACCUCCACCUUGGUGAAUGGUACCCUGGGACCCUGGUCAUUUCUCCAUGCUUCUUCUCCAUUCUUACCAGGAAUUCAGCUCCUGCCGAACCUGUGACCAGUCAAGGGACCCCCAGAUGCCCUCUGCCAUCCAGCCUUGGGUCAGACCUCACACUUUUCCCUUUGGCCUCUCAUCAUGCCUGCAGGGAUUAAUAAACGGGAUUGCUCACUCCAUGGAUGUGCCUGACACAGAACCUAGAUCUCCAGGCGGCCACUGCAGGCCUCUCCAGUCUGCAUUUGUUCCCUCUGCUCCAAACCUGUACCCACCCAGGGGCCUCAGAGUGAGUUUCAAGACAGUCAGAGCAAGGCCUUGCCCAGGUUGAUCCAGUGUUGAUCGCCACCACCCCCCCCCCCCACUCUCUCUGCUUCAGGCAGGCCCCUUUCUCCACACUGACCACUUGGGCUGGGGCUUUGUCCCCUCCCACACAGAAGCCACAUUUUACUCAGAGUCUCGCCAGCACUUAGCAUGGGGCUUGGUGUAUGCUACCCACCAAUAAAUAGGAUGACUGGACAGUGACUGAGGCUGAGUCCAGGGCCUGCAAGACCUCCCUGGACCAUUCCCCUCAGGCUCUGAGACACUCCCUGCACCAUGAAGCAUACAGCCUUGCUCUUGGUCCCUGGUACUUCCUGCCCAGAGCCUAAUGACUACUGGUGUCUGGGAGCCUGCAGGGAGGGAAUGCAGGCAGGCACGGAUGCAUGUGGCCAGGAAGAGGCCAUCAGUGAGCCCCGACAUGGGGCUGCCCACCCUCCAUCUAAGAGAACCCCUGCCCCAAGGUUUGCUUUGAUUUGGUACUAAGGAGCCCUAAGGCCAUGUAGGAACUGCCCCACAGGAGGAUUGGGUUGGCUGACCCUGGAGGGGUGAGAAAGAAGGGCUGGUACAAACUCAGGCUCCAGGACAAAACAGCCCAGGUGCCAACCCCAGCUCUGCAGACAUCUGCUCUGUGUCCUUAGGCAAAUCCCUGGCCACUCUGAGCCUCAGCUUCCUCAGUAAAAUGGGAAUAAGAAAUAC